GGGGAUUUGGCUCAGUGGUAGAGCGCUUGCCUAGCAAGCACAAGGCCCUGGGUUCGGUCCUCAGCUCCA
rfam:Rattus norvegicus chromosome 8, whole genome shotgun sequence.